ensembl:lncRNA
GCCAUGAUUCUUAUAUUAUUCAAGAGAAUAUACAGUGGGGAGAACAAGUAUUAGAUACAGUGCCGAUUUUGCAGGUUUUCCUACUUCCAAAGCAUGUAGAGGUCUGUAAUUUUUAUCAUAUCCCACACAGCAGGAGACUCCGCCUCCAAGUCGCGAAACCCGCGUGAGUGUCACUUUCGUUUUGGCGCCGCCCAGAGAAUCAGCUCCGCCCUCCGGGUAGCGCCGUAAAUUCGACUGUCCGACGCUGGACCCGUGUCGGAUCCGCAGAAGUGGACGCGCUUUUAAGAUAACAGUUGCUACACCAAGAGCAGACAGAGUCAUAUCAGUGGAGAUUUUCUUUCCUGGGACACGGUUGCGCUGAACUAUUUGAAACAAAAAUGAAUAGAAAGACUGUGCCUGUCUCCUUAUCAACCUUAAGACGAAGGACACGUGUAGACGUUCAAAAAAGGCAUAAUCAAAUAUGGACAGACUUGACUGACAUGGACAGGACAGGAACAGGGGCAGAUGACAGAGUUCUUUCUGAGGACACUGCCCCACCCUCUUCAGCUGCACAUGCAAUGCCAGAGGUGCAAGUUGUUACUGAAGAUGACAUGGAAUUGGAGGCAGAUUUUGAUGAUGUGUACAUUACUCUGGAUGAAAAUUUGCUGAUGCCUUUUCAUCUAAUUGAAUUUCAAGCAAGCGAGGACAUUGCUGUUGUGCCAGUUGACUGGUAUGAUGACGGGAUGGUGUACUGGCCCAGCUUUAAGAGCACUGAACAUGUGAAACGGGCAGCUGCUAACGAGGAGAAGCAUGAGCCAAACUGGCCAAGAUAUGACGUAAAGGUCAUCAGAACUUGUGACAACUACAAAGACGCCAUCAGGCUAAUGAAUCAAUAUCAGACCGGCUGCAACGCCUCUGAGCUACAGUCUGAGGGUGAGCUGCCAGAGAAACGAGUCAGGAAGCCAAUCCAUCGUUUUGGGGAUUCUGAUGAGAGUGAAGAAGAGCCAGAAAAUUGUUACUUAGCUUCUCUGAGGUCGCCACGACCUUCCAACUCGGCUUGUGUAUCAGUUGGAGCCUCAAGCCCAAACCAAUUACACUGGCAGACUCCACCAUCUCGCCGAGUGCCAGGCAGCAGAGUCACUACUCAACCUGGAGGAAACUGUCUAGGUAAAGGGACCCCGUCUAGAUUAACACAACAAUG